rnacentral:rRNA from 1 species
GAGUUUGAUCGUGGCUCAGAUUGAACGCUGGCGGCAUGCCUUACACAUGCAAGUCGAGCGGCAGCGCGGGGGCAACCCUGGCGGCGAGCGGCGAACGGGUGAGUAAUGCAUCGGAACGUGUCCUCUUGUGGGGGAUAACCAGUCGAAAGACUGGCUAAUACCGCAUGAGAUCGAGAGAUGAAAGCAGGGGACCGCAAGGCCUUGCGCGAGAGGAGCGGCCGAUGCCGGAUUAGCUAGUUGGUGGGGUAACGGCCUACCAAGGCGACGAUCCGUAGCUGGUCUGAGAGGACGACCAGCCACACUGGGACUGAGACACGGCCCAGACUCCUACGGGAGGCAGCAGUGGGGAAUUUUGGUACAAUGGGGGCGAACCCUCGAUCCAGCCAUGCCG